UGCAUUCACAGGUAGUGCAUUCGUGUAAC
rnacentral:piRNA from 1 species